GACGAACGCUGGCGGCGUGCUUAACACAUGCAAGUCGAACGGAAAGGCCCUGCUUUUGUGGGGUGCUCGAGUGGCGAACGGGUGAGUAACACGUGAGUAACCUGCCCUUGACUUUGGGAUAACUUCAGGAAACUGGGGCUAAUACCGGAUAGGAGCUCCUGCUGCAUGGUGGGGGUUGGAAAGUUUCGGCGGUUGGGGAUGGACUCGCGGCUUAUCAGCUUGUUGGUGGGGUAGUGGCUUACCAAGGCUUUGACGGGUAGCCGGCCUGAGAGGGUGACCGGCCACAUUGGGACUGAGAUACGGCCCAGACUCCUACGGGAGGCAGCAGUGGGGAAUAUUGCACAAUGGGCGGAAGCCUGAUGCAGCAACGCCGCGUGCGGGAUGACGGCCUUCGGGUUGUAAACCGCUUUCGCCUGUGACGAGGCGUGAGUGACGGUAAUGGGUAAAGAAGCACCGGCUAACUACGUGCCAGCAGCCGCGGUGAUACGUAGGGUGCGAGCGUUGACCGGAUUUAUUGGGCGUAAAGGGCUCGUAGGUGGUUGAUCGCGUCGGAAGUGUAAUCUUGGGGCUUAACCCUGAGCGUGCUUUCGAUACGGGUUGACUUGAGGAAGGUAGGGGAGAAUGGAAUUCCUGGUGGAGCGGUGGAAUGCGCAGAUAUCAGGAGGAACACCAGUGGCGAAGGCGGUUCUCUGGGCCUUUCCUGACGCUGAGGAGCGAAAGCGUGGGGAGCGAACAGGCUUAGAUACCCUGGUAGUCCACGCUGUAAACGGUGGGUACUAGGUGUGGGGUCCAUUCCACGGGUUCCGUGCCGUAGCUAACGCUUUAAGUACCCCGCCUGGGGAGUACGGCCGCAAGGCUAAAACUCAAAGGAAUUGACGGGGCCCCGCACAAGCGGCGGAGCAUGCGGAUUAAUUCGAUGCAACGCGUAGAACCUUACCUGGGUUUGACAUGGAUCGGGAGUGCUCAGAGAUGGGUGUGCCUCUUUUGGGGUCGGUUCACAGGUGGUGCAUGCCUGUCGUCAGCUCGUGUCGUGAGAUGUUGGGUUAAGUCCCGCAACGAGCGCAACCCUUGUUCACUGUUGCCGGCACGUUAUGGUGGGGACUCAGUGGAGACCGCCGGGGUCAACUCGGAGGAAGGUGGGGAUGACGUCAAGUCCUCAUGCCCCUUAUGUCCAGGGCUUCACGCAUGCUACAAUGGCUGGUACAGAGAGUGGCGAGCCUGUGAGGGUGAGCGAAUCUCGGAAAGCCGGUCUCAGUUCGGAUUGGGGUCUGCAACUCGACCUCAUGAAGUCGGAGUCGCUAGUAAUCGCAGAUCAGCAACGCUGCGGUGAAUACGUUCCCGGG
rnacentral:rRNA from 1 species